rnacentral:rRNA from 1 species
UACGUAGGGGGCAAGCGUUGUCCGGAUUCAUUGGGCGUAAAGAGCGUGUAGGCGGCCAGGUAGGUCGGUUGUGAAAACUGGAGGCUCAACCUUCAGACGUCGACCGAAACCAUCUGGCUAGAGUCCGGGAGAGGAGAGUGGAAUUCCUGGUGUAGCGGUGAAAUGCGCAGAUAUCAGGAAGAACACCCGUGGCGAAAGCGGCUCUCUGGAACGGUACUGACGCUGAGACGCGAAAGCGUGGGAGCGAACAGG